UGAAAUACUGGUCCCAUAUGACCACUGAAGUUAAGCAAUGUCAACCUUGGUUACUACUUUGAUGGGUGGCCACUUUAGAAUACCAGGUGCUGUAAG